ACUGAACGCUGGCGGCAUGCUUUACACAUGCAAGUCGAACGGUAACAGGUUAAGCUGACGAGUGGCGAACGGGUGAGUAAUGCAUCGGAACGUGCCCGGUCGUGGGGGAUAACACUUCGAAAGAAGUGCUAAUACCGCAUACGAUCUAAGGAUGAAAGCGGGGGACCGUAAGGCCUCGCGCGAUUGGAGCGGCCGAUGUCAGAUUAGGUAGUUGGUGGGGUAAAGGCUCACCAAGCCGACGAUCUGUAGCUGGUCUGAGAGGACGACCAGCCACACUGGGACUGAGACACGGCCCAGACUCCUACGGGAGGCAGCAGUGGGGAAUUUUGGACAAUGGGCGCAAGCCUGAUCCAGCAAUGCCGCGUGCAGGAAGAAGGCCUUCGGGUUGUAAACUGCUUUUGUACGGAGCGAAAAGGCUCUCUCUAAUACAGGGGGCUGAUGACGGUACCGUAAGGAUAAGCACCGGCUAACUACGUGCCAGCCGCCGCCGUAA
rnacentral:rRNA from 1 species